AAAAGGAAGGGAAAGAGGAAGGGAAAGAGGAAGGAAGGAAGGAAGGAAGGGCAAUUGGUACUAAAUUCUUGUAGUGCCCAGGCACUCUUCCCCUAGUGGGCAGGGCAGAGAGACUGUGAAAGGUGGAGAUGAAGGAGAGCCAUCAUUUCACUCUUGAGAAAGGACGGAGCAGGCUGUGUGGAAGAGAUGAGAUCUGGGAUAAAUUGGAAAAGGUAUCAAAAAAUUAGGAGGGAAGAAAUAUUUUCAGCAAGUCUGCUACCACACUCCUCAAAUUCAACUAAGAGUGGUGAUUUAAUGUCAGAAAAGCUCCGCAUCCAGCCCUAUUAGCAGGGGCAGAAACAGACGCCAGGAGACACUGCCCACCUCCUGGGAAUCGGAAUCAGCCUUCACAGCACCAGGAGCCUGGGGUGGGCUGCUGUUUCUGUAAGGUUUUAAAAAGUCAGAGAGCACAGAGUUCUUCCGGAGCCUAUUCUGACUCCUCCUGAGUUUUGUUCACGUGAGAUAAUAUCCUCCUGGGAAAAAAUCUUGAUGGAAAGCCAAGGCCCCCCUGCUGGCUGCAAGAAACCGGAAUUCGGCCUUUUCGGCGCGCACCCGGACACGGCGCUGGGAUGAAGGCGCCCAGUUCAUGCCCAGCCAGGGCCUGCAGGGACAACGGGAUGGUCACAGGACGGCUGCCUCAGCUCCAAACAGCAACAUCUGAAGGAGAAAGGUGUCAGUUCCCAAGGGAGAAAUGCUUCCACCAGGAGACACAGCAGUGAUUCCAUUGAACUGAAAGUGAGGCCUGCCUUGGACUCCCUGUGCCACAGAACCAGCAUGCGAAGAUGGGGGUGACUGUACCGGCUGGGGCGACUCUCAUGUACAGGCCUCCCUCAUUUCUGCUGCAGGACAUCCAGGAUAAGCCUGGACAUCACCCAGACAUUCAUCUUCUGGGGAAAGGGAGCAUGUUUUCAGUUGCGUGCAGCAUACUUGUGUUUCGGGCAGCAGUGUGACUUUGCUGCUGUCUUGAUCUGGAGACGAGUAUAAGACUCAGGCAAUGUGGAGGGUGGCAGGUCCAAGAGUAGACUGAGACAGUCAGGCUUGGGAGUCCCCUGGCCAGGCCACCAUGCUCGGUUACGCGGUGCUGCCGUGAACGUAUUCUGUAAAUGAGACGAACACCCCCCAUUACCCUGUCGUAGAGGAGAUCAUCCUGCAUAACCUCGUCGGGGUGGGGAGGCUGACUGGUCAGCAGAAAGGCCUGGAGAGGGGAGCCGAGGUCCCCCUGCAGAGGAGGAAACUCCUGGGAAGGGCCUGAUCCUGCCUCAGUUUCCAGCUGCCCAGAAAAUCAGACUUACCCACUAGGCCCCAAAACUGUGCAGGACGGGUUCUUCACACUCCCCUCCCCUCUCUCUGUCUCCCUUGAGAUAUAUGUGGAUAUAGACUUGGUUUUAUUUCCCUGGGGAAAUCUGAUCGAUACAGGUACUACAUUCGGCGUCCAGUCCAUGACUCAGGAAGUCAAUUCUCCGUCCCUUCGCUCUCCUUCCAUCCGAGGCCAAACGCAUUCACUUCACGCUCUUGGAAUGUUUUC